UGGAUUACUUUUAAAACAUUCGAUUUCACUGGGGUCCGGCGAGAUACCGGUUUCGUUAAUUACAUGACCUAGUCAUAAUCGGACGAAAACACGUUCCGAUGUCUCCUGAUGGUCGCGUGGGCUAGAUUCACGUAUAACAUUUUCUUCGAGAUAUGCUGUACACUACUCUUCUAAACCGUUUCCUAACAGCUCAAGUUUAAUAAAAAACACAAAGACCGGGUUACUACAGGGAUAACGUAUCUUAGUACGAACACAUUCAGUUUUUUUUUUCACAAAAGCCACACCACUAAGUUGAGAUUGAUGUCGAACAAUCCUGAAGUGUCGAAAUUCGUGAGUUUAUUUCCACAGUAAAAGAAAGCAAGUAAAAACUCCACAUCUGUAUAAGUACUUGCGUAUAAAACCUAGUGCCCUGGUGUAUUG